rnacentral:rRNA from 1 species
GAUGAACGCUGGCGGCGUGCCUAAUACAUGCAAGUCGAGCGAACGGACGAGAAGCUUGCUGCUUUGAUGUUAGCGGCGGACGUGUGUGUAACAUGUGUAUAACCUACCUAUAAGACUGGGAUAACUUCGGGAAUGCGGAGCUUAUCCCGGAUAAUCUUCUGAAGCACAGUGUGCAAUAGUGAAAGACGGUGGUGCUGUCACGAAUCGAUGGAUCUGCGCUGCAUUAGCUAGUUGGUAAGGUAACGGCUUAUCAAGGCAACGAUGCAUAACCGACGUGAGAGGGUGAUCGGCCACCCUGGAACUGAGACACGGUCCAGGCUCCUACGGGAGGGAGCAGUAGGGAAUCUUCCGCAAUGGGCGAAAGCCUGACGGAGCAAGGCCGCGUGAGAGAUGAAGGUCUUCGGAUCGUAAAACUCUGUUAUUAGGGAAGAACAUAUGUGUAAGUAACUGUGCACAUCUUGACGGUACCUAAUCAGAAAGCCACGGCUAACUACGUG